rnacentral:rRNA from 1 species
GUAGGUCCCGAGCGUUGUCCGGAUUUAUUGGGCGUAAAGCGAGCGCAGGCGGUUUGAUAAGUCUGAAGUUAAAGGCUGUGGCUCAACCAUAGUUCGCUUUGGAAACUGUCAAACUUGAGUGCAGAAGGGGAGAGUGGAAUUCCAUGUGUAGCGGUGAAAUGCGUAGAUAUAUGGAGGAACACCGGUGGCGAAAGCGGCUCUCUGGUCUGUAACUGACGCUGAGGCUCGAAAGCGUGGGGAGCGAACAGGAUUAGAUACCCUGGUAGUCCACGCCGUAAACGAUGAGUGCUAGGUGUUGGAUCCUUUCCGGGAUUCAGUGCCGAAGCUAACGCAUUAAGCACUCCGCCUGGGGAGUACGACCGCAAGGUUG